AUUGAACGCUGGCGGCAUGCCUUACACAUGCAAGUCGAACGGCAGCACGGGUGCUUGCACCUGGUGGCGAGUGGCGAACGGGUGAGUAAUACAUCGGAACAUGUCCUUUAGUGGGGGAUAGCCCGGCGAAAGCCGGAUUAAUACCGCAUACGAUCUACGGAUGAAAGCGGGGGACCUUCGGGCCUCGCGCUAUAGGGUUGGCCGAUGGCUGAUUAGCUAGUUGGUGGGGUAAAGGCCUACCAAGGCGACGAUCAGUAGCUGGUCUGAGAGGACGACCAGCCACACUGGGACUGAGACACGGCCCAGACUCCUACGGGAGGCAGCAGUGGGGAAUUUUGGACAAUGGGCGAAAGCCUGAUCCAGCAAUGCCGCGUGCGUGAAGAAGGCCUUCGGGUUGUAAAGCACUUUUGUCCGGAAAGAAAGCCUUGGCCCUAAUACGGUCGGGGGAUGACGGUACCGGAAGAAUAAGCACCGGCUAACUACGUG
rnacentral:rRNA from 1 species